UGGAAACUNUCUGACUUGAGUGCAGAAGGGGAGAGUGGAAUNCCAUGUGUAGCGGUGAAAUGCGUAGAUAUAUGGAGGAACACCAGUGGCGAAAGCGGCUNUCUGGUCUGUCACUGACGCUGAGGCUCGAAAGCGUGGGUAGCGAACAGGAUUAGAUACCCUGGUAGUCCACGCCGUAAACGAUGAGUGCUAGGUGUUAGGCCCUUUCCGGGGCUUAGUGCCGGAGCUAACGCAAUAAGCACUCCGCCUGGGGAGUACGACCGCAAGGUUGAAACUCAAAGGAAUUGACGGGGGCCCGCACAAGCGGUGGAGCAUGUGGUUUAAUUCGAAGCAACGCGAAGAACCUUACCAGGUCUUGACAUCCCGAUGCUAUUCUUAGAGAUAGGAAGUUACUUCGGUACAUCGGAGACAGGUGGUGCAUGGUUGUCGUCAGCUCGUGUCGUGAGAUGUUGGGUUAAGUCCCGCAACGAGCGCAACCCUUAUUGUUAGUUGCCAUCAUUAAGUUGGGCACUCUAGCGAGACUGCCGGUAAUAAACCGGAGGAAGGUGGGGAUGACGUCAAAUCAUCAUGCCCCUUAUGACCUGGGCUACACACGUGCUACAAUGGUCGGUACAACGAGUUGCGAGCCGGUGACGGCAAGCUAAUCUCUGAAAGCCGAUCUCAGUUCGGAUUGGAGGCUGCAACUCGCCUCCAUGAAGUCGGAAUCGCUAGUAAUCGCGGAUCAGCACGCCGCGGUGAAUACGUUCCCGGGCCUUGUACACACCGCCCGUCACACCACGAGAGUUUGUAACACCCGAAGUCGGUGAGGUANCCUUUUAGGG
rnacentral:rRNA from 1 species